AAGUCGUAACAAGGUUUCCGUAGGUGAACCUGCGGAAGGAUCAUUACAGAGUUCAUGCCCGAAAGGGUAGACCUCCCACCCGUGUAUAAUAUACUUUGUUGCUUCGGCGGGCCGCUGAAAAGCCCUGGCUUCGGCUGGGCCGUGCCCGUCAAAGGACCCCUAAAACUCUAUCAGUUAGUGUCGUCUGAGUACUAUAUAAUAGUUAAAACUUUCAACAACGGAUCUCUUGGUUCUG
rnacentral:misc_RNA from 1 species